CACCGGAAGAAUGCUUGCCAACCGCCAUUAAACAGAAGAGGAAGAAUCUUUCCCACAAUCCUGUGCGGCGCUAAAGUGACCUCUGCUGCUAACUACCAGCCCGAUAAAGUCAUGGCUCCCCCGGUCGCAGUGUCUCCGCUCAUUAAAACCGCCAGGUAUUCAGCUUUGAUUGCUGGUGUCUUUUAUGGCAAGAUGAGAUAUGGCACACUGAAGCCCAUUGCGGCUGAGGAGCGGAGGAUCGAGGAAGAGGAGAAGAAGAUCCGUGAGGAGCAGGAGCGCAUCGCCAAGCAGCUUGCAGAAGCCAAUGACGACACCAUCCUGAAAUAGACCUUCACUUCCAGGACAAUUUUCAUUCUGGAGCAACUCCAACAACAUCCAUGCUGGGCCUCUCACUCACCUGUGAUGUGGACGUCCACACACUCGUACAAGUCUUUUAUUCUGCUUGUUAGAAACCCUCACAUGGAGUCAUGUCUCUGGAACUGUAAAUAUUAAGUUCAGAUUUAGUAAUAAAUCAUGUGGUUAACAAA